rnacentral:lncRNA from 1 species
GAGAAACACACUUCACAGUUACAUGGCGCGGUCUUCUUCUGUUCUUCGCUACCCAACUCAAUUCAAUGGCGGAUGGAACUGGUUAGAACUUAAAAGCUAUUUGCUUUGCAUAUGAAUAUGAUGUUUUUGUUUUGAAUUUGAAUUUGAACUCAACUGUUUGCUUUCUUUGUGAUAUAUUAUUGUUAGAUGUUAUGAAAACAAAGAUACCCAAAUAAAAGAUAGGGACUUUGUAGAAAAAUAGCAACAAGUUUCAUUCAUCUUAGUUAAUUGUGGGAAUAGAUUUGUUGUUAAUACCAAUUCUCCCUUAUUUGCUGGCGAUUGGAGGGUGGAACUCUUCAUUCAAGCUCCUGUCUUCAUCAGCUUUUUCCUCGUCCUAACAUCUCUCUCUUAACAUCUUCCAACUUAUCAAGUAUGUCUGAUUUUAGAUGUGUUCUUUGGAUCAUGUCUCAAAUAGCUUUGUCUUUGUCUUUGUCUUCGUCUUUGUUUGGCAGAUAACGAACAUGGCAGAGGAAGUGCCAUGUUUUACAAGUAGUUUAUAUCUGACAUUCUAUUCUUACUGGUUUCCUCUUACAAUACAAGGGAUACUUCCAUGACUGAAAUAGUGUGUCAAAUGCAUAUUGAACACUCUGAAAUCUUUCCUCUUAUUUAUAGCAGAGUGAGAUUUUGGCAGGUUUAGAUCCACAUAGGCUUUUGCUUUCAUUAAGUUUGGUCAUGUCUAAAGAUAUGGGAAAACAUAGCAAUUUUGAAAGCACAGGACCAGUUGCAUCCGAUAUUCAAUCCUGGACCUCAUAGUCUGUCAAGUUGUAGGUGGUUUGGUACAUUUAAUAUCUAUUAUCUAGUUUGUUCGAAAAUGUUUAAUUUCUUAUUUGCUUAUUUUCUGUGUCAUUUUCCAGCUCCUUUUUUGGAGAUCGGAAGACAGAUACGGAGGGGGUUGGGGAGGCUGCAAUCAGAUAGGGUCAGAAACUCUGUUAAACCAACUUAAGAAUUAAAUUAUUUACGUUUGUUCUUCAGUGCAAGCAAUCUGCAAGAAGGUAUGGAAGGGAAAUCCUACUGCUACCACCAUGAAAAAUGUUUCAAGAGGUCUUGCUGCUCUUACUGUUCCAUUUACCAUGAGCUUUCCAAAAAGGUAGUUUUGCUAAGUCUUAUUGGCUUCUGCUAUUUAUGUUUAUUCUAUUCUCUGUGAACUUCUCUCCAGUCAUUUCUGUAAUAGAUGUCAUGCGCACUUUGAAGCCAAUGCCUUAGGAUGGCACCUCCCCCUCUUUAAUAUCAGGGCGGAGACAAAGAUGUCAAUUUGAGGAUAAAUAUUUCUCUAUCCCCGUUCAUUGCCCCAAACUCUCUAUCUCUUUUCUAUUUUGACAAGUGACAUGAGGAGAGAGAUGAAGAGAGGGGGGCAAUGAAACCAGAAUGGAAGUUUUUCUGAAAGUUGAGGGGAGGUCUACAUUGAGCCCGGGCUUGGCACCUCUAUCUCCAAAGUUAUUAGCUACAACGUUCGCCGGAUGCUUCACCCUGCUACAACAAUACAACCACCACUGAUUAUGAGAUGAGAUACCCCUGACGUCAAUUUGAAAAGUAACAUCUGCAUCACUUUCCGAUAAUUGGAAGCUGCAUUGUUCAAUGUUGGGAUAAACAGGCUGUUGUAGAACUUUUUUUUAUCUGUUAAUUUAUAUAUAAAUUUACUACUCAGAUUUUAUAGACCCCACUGAUAACACACUUGUUAGUUAGUUCUUCCCCCUUGUGUAUCUAUCUAUCACAUGUGAUUUCUAGUCUUGAGGAUGGGAAACCAGC